GUCCAUUUAGAGGAGUAAAAGUCGUAACAAGGUUUCCGUAGGUGAACCUGCGGAGGGAUCAUUACAAAAUUCCCGCCCCAAAGGGUAUACCUCCCACCCUUGUGUAUUAUUCCUUUGUUGCUUUGGCGAGCUGCCUUCGGGCCUUGUAUGCUCGCUCCAGAAGACCACAACUCUCUUUAUUAAUGUCUUCCGAUUACAAUAUAAUAAUUAAAACUUUCAACAACGGAUCUCUGGGUUCUGGCAUCGAUGAAUAACGCAACGAAA
rnacentral:misc_RNA from 1 species